rnacentral:rRNA from 1 species
UACGGGGGGGGCAAGCGUUGUUCGGAAUUACUGGGCGUAAAGGGCGCGUAGGCGGUCUGCUAAGUUGGAUGUGAAAACUCUGGGCUUAACCCAGAGCCUGCAUUCAAAACUGACAGGCUAGAGUUCUGGAGGGGAUAGCGGAAUUCCUGGUGUAGCGGUGAAAUGCGUAGAUAUCAGGAGGAACACCGGUGGCGAAGGCGGCUCUCUGGGACGGUACUGACGCUGAGACGCGAAAGCGUGGGGAGCGAACAGG